AACGAACGCUGGCGGCAGGCCUAACACAUGCAAGUCGAGCGAGAUCUUCGGGUCUAGCGGCGGACGGGUGAGUAACGCGUGGGAAUAUGCCUCUUGGUACGGAAUAGCCUCGGGAAACUGGGAGUAAUACCGUAUGUGCCCUUUGGGGGAAAGAUUUAUCGCCAAGAGAUUAGCCCGCGUUGGAUUAGGUAGUUGGUGGGGUAAUGGCCUACCAAGCCGACGAUCCAUAGCUGGUUUGAGAGGAUGGUCAGCCACACUGGGACUGAGACACGGCCCAGACUCCUACGGGAGGCAGCAGUGGGGAAUCUUAGACAAUGGGGGCAACCCUGAUCUAGCCAUGCCGCGUGAGUGAUGAAGGCCUUAGGGUUGUAAAGCUCGUUCAGCUGGGAAGAUAAUGACGGUACCAGCAGAAGAAGCCCCGGCUAACUCCGUG
rnacentral:rRNA from 1 species